rnacentral:rRNA from 1 species
UACGUAGGGUGCAAGCGUUAAUCGGAAUUACUGGGCGUAAAGCGUGCGUAGGCGGUUCGUUAAGUCUGCUGUGAAAGCCCCGGGCUCAACCUGGGAAUGGCAGUGGAUACUGGCGAGCUAGAGUGUGAUAGAGGAUGGUGGAAUUCCCGGUGUAGCGGUGAAAUGCGUAGAGAUCGGGAGGAACAUCAGUGGCGAAGGCGGCCAUCUGGAUCAACACUGACGCUGAGGAGCGAAAGCGUGGGGAGCGAACAGG